rnacentral:rRNA from 1 species
GAUGAACGCUGGCGGCGUGCCUAAUACAUGCAAGUCGAGCGAAUGGAUUAAGAGCUUGCUCUUAUGAAGUUAGCGGCGGACGGGUGAGUAACACGUGGGUAACCUGCCCAUAAGACUGGGAUAACUCCGGGAAACCGGGGCUAAUACCGGAUAACAUUUUGAACCGCAUGGUUCGAAAUUGAAAGGCGGCUUCGGCUGUCACUUAUGGAUGGACCCGCGUCGCAUUAGCUAGUUGGUGAGGUAACGGCUCACCAAGGCAACGAUGCGUAGCCGACCUGGGAGGGUGAUCGGCCACACAGGGACUGGAACACGGACCAGACUCCUACGGGAGGCAGCAGUAGGGAAUCUUCCGAAAUGGACGAAAGUCUGACGGAGCAACGCCGCGUGAGUGAUGAAGGCUUUCGGGUCGUAAAACUCUGUUGUUAGGGAAGAACAAGUGCUAGUUGAAUAAGCUGGCACCUUGACGGUACCUAACCAGAAAGCCACGGCUAACUACGUGCCAGCCGCCGCAGUAA